UCAUCAUCAAGAAUCCGCAUAAUCCAAAGGCAUGUAAAACCUCCCCUAAUUGUGUCUUCACAUCAUGGCAUGUUCUUUAAUCAAUGCCCCACCAGGAGAAAUGAUCGAAAGAAUUUCUAUUCUUUUAUCAUUGUUCCUCAUCAAAACUUAAAACGAAUUUGGAACUUAAUCUAACUUCGUCAAUUGGCAUCUAUGAUCAUAUUUAUCAGCCAAUUCCCAGGAACGCAACAAUCAAUAUUCACUGCUAAUACAUGUCGUCACUACAGGAAACCAACGUUGCAUCCAAGGAAACCUCACUUUCAUUUUCUUUCUUCCAAACACCACCAUUUCCAGAAUUC
rnacentral:lncRNA from 1 species